GUCACAAUGCCAAAAGGCUGGCCACACCCGCAAGCCCUCCAGAAACCACAGCAAAGACCAACUGGCUCAACAACAGAGCAGUGCCUGCCAGAGUACAGCGCCCUUCUAAAGAGAGGUCCUUAAGACGAUCUUCAUGAAGAAUACCAGCCACUGCCAUUUCAAACCUGCUUUUCCUUAGAUCAUUUUCUUCUUCAAAAAGAGUUCACAAGUUAAAGUUCAAUCAGCACUAAUCCAACCAGAGAAGUAAUCAAGUACAUUUACUUGGCUUUAUGAAGAUUUUUAAAAUUGAGGCUUCGCCUGCUAAGAGGAUCUCCUUGUGUCUGAGGUGGUUCCAGUGGUCCAACAUGUUCACUCUUAUCUAACGGAAGGGUCACGGCUCCGAGUCUGCACUGUUUACACCGAGGAAAGGCAGCGGUAAAUAAAACUCAACUUAGCAAGGCUUCACUGUCCUCACACCUGAUGCCCGAGCCAUGCUCUCUCUACUGAGGAGGUCUGUACUUACAGAGAAGAUUUUAAGAAGUUCCAAGCAUGAUGGUAUACUUCUGUAAUCUAAAUACCCAAGAGGCAGAGGCAAGAGCCUGAGGUCUAUGGAUUGAGUUCCACACUAGCCAGUGCUAUACUGUGAAACAAUGUUGAUAAAUAAAUGGUUUCCAGGAAAACCAGUAAAUUUA